AGCAAAGUCCUUGGUGGUUUGUACAUGUUAUUAAAUGGUACCAUGGCAUGUGGGUUCAAGGUACACAUAAUUUAUAAAUGGUUAUAACAAGAUUCUAACCUUGACUCUAAUUUGUAAAUGUUUGUACAUGGUAGCACAACAGAUUAGGAUCAGGCCUCUUAUUAUUGAAGGUAGGUGUGAGACAGAUCUGAUUUUCUCCUUAUAUUACACCAUUCCUUGCAGUUUGAGGGAAUUGCAUGUCUCCAGUAAAGCAAAUUAAGCAUAUACUACUAAGAAACUAAGAGUCCAUGGUGGCAUUCAGAAUAAUAAGAAAAAUAUAAUGAAGAACAAAACUUACUAACCCGAAAGCAGCCACAUAUGGUAAAAUUGUUCCAUAUCGGAUGCUCAAAAAAA
rnacentral:rRNA from 1 species